rnacentral:rRNA from 1 species
AUACGUAGGGGGCGAGCGUUGUCCGGAUUUAUUGGGUGUAAAGGGUGUGUAGGCGGGGAGCCAAGUCAGAUGUGAAAAUUACGGGCUCAACCCGUAACCUGCGUCUGAAACUGGUUUUCUUGAGAGUGGGAGAGGUAAACGGAAUUCCUGGUGUAGCGGUGAAAUGCGUAGAUAUCAGGAGGAACACCGGUGGCGAAGGCGGUUUACUGGACCACAACCGACGCUGAGACACGAAAGCGUGGGGAGCAAACAGGAUUAGAUACCCUGGUAGUCCACGCUGUAAACGAUGAAUGCUAGGUGUAGGGGUCGAAGGACUUCCGUGCCGCAGUUAACACAAUAAGCAUUCCACCUGGGGAGUACGGCCGCAAGGUUGAAACUCAAAUGAAUUGGCGGGG